rnacentral:rRNA from 1 species
AGCAGCCGCGGUAAUUCCAGCUCCAAUAGCGUAUAUUAAAGUUGCUGCAGUUAAAAAGCUCGUAGUUGAAUUUCGGGACCAUCAUGUCGGUCGUGCCUCGGUACGUACUGGCAUUGUUGGUUUCUCCCUUCUGACGAACCAUGAUGUCAUUAAUUUGGUGUCUUGGGGAAUCAGGACUGUUACUUUAGAAAAAUUAGAGUGUUUAAAGCAGGCUCACGCUUGAAUACAUUAGCAUGGAAUAACGAAAUAGGACGUUUGAUUCUAUUUUGUUGGUUUCUAGGAUCGACGUAAUGAUUAAUAGGGAUAGUUGGGGGCAUUAGUAUUCAAUUGUCAGAGGUGAAAUUCUUGGAUUUAUUGAAGACUAACUACUGCGAAAGCAUUUGCCAAGGAUGUUUUCAUUAAUCAAGAACGAAAGUUAGGGGAUCGAAGACGAUCAGAUACCGUCGUAGUCUUAACCAUAAACUAUGCCGACUAGGGAUCGGAUGAUGUU